CGCAGCGCGCUACACUGACAGAUCCAACGAGUUAAUCACCUUGUCCGAAAGGUCUGGGUAAUCUUGUAAAACUCUGUCGUGCUGGGGAUAGAUCAUUGCAAUUAUUGCUCUUCAACGAGGAAUUCCUAGUAAGCACAAGUCAUCAGCUUGUGCUGAUUACGU
rnacentral:rRNA from 1 species